GGAGUGGGCAGGCAGAACUCUCAAGGCCUUGGGUGGUGGUGCCUUACUGAGCUCUCACAGCAUUCAUCAUGCUCUGUUUGUUUAAGCCUGAGCCAAUUCCACUGUCUGUACAGGACUCAGAAGCAGGAUCCCCCACACCCUGAGGAGGCUGAAAAACUCCAUAGUGCUCACCAAACCUGGGUGUCCUUUAAUGACCAGGUUUGUCACUGGAGGAAAGUAGGAAGGAGAAGAGAACACCAUCUGCUCGAUCCAAGCCAGGAGUCAGAGAAAUCUCUUCUACAGGUUUUCUGCUUGAACACGGCUUAACGCACCCUUCAUGAGGAUAUAACAUGGCAAGUUUAGAAUGUUGCUAUCUUUUUUUUUUUUUUUUUUUUUUUGGAAAAUUUUUUAAUGAUGGUGUUGAACUGUACUAAAGAGAACUAAUGAAGCAGGAUAAGGAAAUGCUGAUCUAAGAGAGUCUAUAAACACUAGUGUAGAUUAUAUCCUUAAAGAGCUUGUGUUAAUAAGGCAAGUGAGCUCAAGUGUUAUCAGAGGGAACAAACUAAAUUACAUUGUAAACUGAUUUAUUAAGUCUACCUCCUUACACUCACUUGCCAGAUGACAUGAAGAUAUAAGAGAUUUGAUUUCUCUCCUACACACUGCCAUGUAGACCAAUGCUCAACAUCUGGUGGAUUAUGGUCUGGAAGUAUUUCACCAGCACGACCACUCGAACAUACUGUAACAGAACUGAUAACCACUUCCUUACACUAUAUAAACGAAGUACUGUAAAGAAGCUACGCAAAAAAAUAAAAACAGACUUGCAUAUUUUGUUUGUAAGACCUUCUGAAG
ensembl:lncRNA